AUUCCAGACUCCUACGGGAGGCAGCAGUCGGGAAUAUUGCGCAAUGGAGGAAACUCUGACGCAGUGACGCCGCGUAUAGGAAGAAGGUUUUCGGAUUGUAAACUAUUGUCGUUAGGGAAGAGAAAGGACAGUACCUAAGGAGGAAGCUCCGGCUAACUACGUGCCAGCAGCCGCGGUAAUACGUAGGGAGCGAGCGUUAUCCGGAAUUAUUGGGUGUAAAGGGUGCGUAGACGGGAAAGCAAGUUAGUUGUGAAAUCCCUCGGCUUAACUGAGGAACUGCAACUAAAACUACUUUUCUUGAGUGCAGGGGAGGUAAGUGGAAUUCCUAGUGUAGCGGUGAAAUGCGUAGAUAUUAGGAGGAACACCAGUGGCGAAGGCGACUUUCUGGACUGUACCUGACGCUGAGGCGCGAAAGCGUGGGUAGCGAACGGGAUUAGAUACCCCCGUAA
rnacentral:rRNA from 1 species